CAGCAGACUUAAAUGACUUGAGUGCCCGUGGGGAAAUCCACGGAGUAGAACCGCUCAAAUUCGGGGAAAGCUAAGGCGGGCAUCAGCGCGCUAGGCCAAUCCCGAGCCAAGCCCGGCCCUGCCCCAUGGCAGGAACGGGAAGGUGUAGAGACUGGACGGGUGGCGCCUUCGGCCUUUCAACGGCCAUGGCGAAGGGACAGUCCGGACCACAAACGGUUUCAUUUCCUUUGCGGG
rnacentral:autocatalytically_spliced_intron from 1 species